rnacentral:rRNA from 1 species
CGUAACAAGGUCUCCGUAGGUGAACCUGCGGAGGGAUCAUUACAAGUGACCCCGGUCUAACCACCGGGAUGUUCCUAACCCUUUGUUGUCCGACUCUGUUGCCUCCGGGGCGACCCUGCCUUCGGGCGGGGGCUCCGGGUGGACACUUCAAACUCUUGCGUAACUUUGCAGUCUGAGUAAACUUAAUUAAUAAAUUAAAACUUUUAACAACGGAUCUCUUGGUUCUGGCAUCGAUGAAGAACGCAGCGAAAUGCGAUAAGUAAUGUGAAUUACAGAAUUCAGUGUAUCAUCGAAUCUUUGAACGCACAUUGCGCCCCCUGGUAUUCCGGGGGGCAUGCCUGUUCGAGCGUCAUUUCACCACUCAAGCCUCGCUUGGUAUUGGGCAACGCGGUCCGCCGCGUGCCUCAAAUCGACCGGCUGGGUCUUCUGUCCCCUAAGCGUUGUGGAAACUAUUCGCUAAAGGGUGUUCGGGAGGCUACGCCGUAAAACAACCCCAUUUCUAAGGUUGACCUCGGAUCAGGUAGGGAUACCCGCUGAACUUAAGCAUAUCA